rnacentral:lncRNA from 1 species
CAAAAUCUAGGUGUUAACUCCUACAAAAAUAUUGAAUUUUGGUAAAUGCCUUAUAUACCGAACCAUAUAAUCUUUAGUAUUGUUUUAAAAUUUCUAACCACAUUCUACAUUUGUAUUAAUGUACGUUAAAUUCUCUUUUAUGGUAUAUGAGAAUCGUUCUAAUUCUUUAUCAAUAAAUUAGUAAAACUUCAAAAUAAUAUUUUAAUCAGUAGAAUAAUCACUAAAAUUGCUAUUUUCUUGAAAAACGGACACAACAAAUGAUCUUAACC